rnacentral:piRNA from 1 species
UAGGAUGGUCUGAACCCCUGAUCUUUCUGC